rnacentral:lncRNA from 13 species
CUUGCUAAUAGUUAGGAUAAGAUAACUUUAUGCUUUAGUAACAAACAAUUCCUCAGUCUCGAUUGCUUAACACAAAGCACCACCUAACGAUGCCGUUUACAUGAAUUCUGUUGUAGAUGACUCUCUAUGCAACUGGCCUUCACGUGGUGACUCAAGAAGCAACCUACCCUAACCUGUUGAUACCCUCAUUUCAAAGGCUCUCAUGCUCACCGCAUUAGGGGAAGAAAUGCACUGGAGGGAUAUAUGGAAAAGGGGCUUUUCAAAGUCACAGUUCAGGACUAGGUCAACAAGGGUCGUAUUAUCAUCAUUCGGUACAUAUUGGAAGUGCCUAAUCCUCUACAGAAUAAG